GCGAGCGUGGUGAAAUUGGUAGACACGCUAGACUUAGGAUCUAGUGCCUUUGGUAUAGGAGUUCGAGUCUCCUCGCUCGCA
rnacentral:tRNA from 4 species